UGCCAGACUCCUACGGGAGGCAGCAGUAGGGAAUCUUCGGCAAUGGACGAAAGUCUGACCGAGCAACGCCGCGUGAGUGAAGAAGGUUUUCGGAUCGUAAAACUCUGUUGGUAGAGAAGAACGUUGGUGAGAGUGGAAAGCUCAUCAAGUGACGGUAACUACCCAGAAAGGGACGGCUAACUACGUGCCAGCAGCCGCGGUAAUACGUAGGUCCCGAGCGUUGUCCGGAUUUAUUGGGCGUAAAGCGAGCGCAGGUGGUUUAUUAAGUCUGGUGUAAAAGGCAGUGGCUCAACCAUUGUAUGCAUUGGAAACUGGUAGACUUGAGUGCAGGAGAGGAGAGUGGAAUUCCAUGUGUAGCGGUGAAAUGCGUAGAUAUUAGGAGGAACACCAGUGGCGAAGGCGACUUUCUGGACUGUACCUGACGCUGAGGCGCGAAAGCGUGGGUAGCGAACGGGAUUAGAUACCCGCGUAGAU
rnacentral:rRNA from 1 species